UACAGAGGUCUCAAGCGUUGUUCGGAUUCAUUGGGCGUAAAGGGUGCGUAGGCGGCGUGGUAAGUCGGGCGUGAAAUUUCGGAGCUUAACUCCGAAACUGCAUUCGAUACUGCCGUGCUUGAGGACUGGAGAGGAGACUGGAAUUUACGGUGUAGCAGUGAAAUGCGUAGAGAUCGUAAGGAAGACCAGUGGCGAAGGCGGGUCUCUGGACAGUUCCUGACACUGAGGCACGAAGGCCAGGGGAGCAAACGGG
rnacentral:rRNA from 1 species